AAGUAAGUCCAUGUGGAACAUGUAGACUCCUACGGGAGGCAGCAGUGGGGAAUUUUGGACAAUGGGCGAAAGCCUGAUCCAGCAAUGCCGCGUGUGUGAAGAAGGCCUCGGGUUGUAAAGCACUUUUGUCCGGAAAGAAAUCCUUGGCUCUAAUACAGUCGGGGGAUGACGGUACCGGAAGAAUAAGCACCGGCUAACUACGUGCCAGCAGCCGCGGUAAUACGUAGGGUGCAAGCGUUAAUCGGAAUUACUGGGCGUAAAGCGUGCGCAGGCGGUUUGCUAAGACCGUGUGAAAUCCCCGGGCUCAACCUGGGAACUGCAUUGGUGACUGGCAGGCUAGAUUAUGGCAGAGGGGGGUAGAAUUCCACGUGUAGCAAUGAAAUGCGUAGAGAUGUGGAGGAAACCGAUGGCGAAGGCAGCCCCCUGGGCCAUACUGACGCUCAUGCACGAAAGCGUGGGGAGCAAACAGGAUUAGAUACACUGGUAGUCCACGCCCUAAACGAUGUCAACUAGUUUUGGGGAUUCAUUUCCUUAGUAACAUAGCUAACGCGUGAAGUUGACCGCCUGGGGAGUACGGUCGCAAGAUUAAAACUCAAAGGAAUUGACGGGGACCCGCACAAGCGGUGGAUGAUGUGGAUUAAUUCGAUGCACCGCGAAAAACCUUACCUACCCUUGACAUGGUCGGAAUCCUGCUGAGAGGUGGGAGUGCUCGAAAGAGAACCGCGCACAGGUGCUGCAUGGCUGUCGUCAGCUCGUGUCGUGAGAUGUUGGGUUAAGUCCCGCAACGAGCGCAACCCUUGUCCUUAGUUGCUACGCAAGAGCACUCUAAGGAGACUGCCGGUGACAAACCGGAGGAAGGUGGGGAUGACGUCAAGUCCUCAUGGCCCGGACUUCUGAAUGCGGCAUUACCCAGUAGAUUC
rnacentral:rRNA from 1 species